rnacentral:misc_RNA from 1 species
GCAAACUUGGUCAUUUAGAGGAAGUAAAAGUCGUAACAAGGUUUCCGUAGGUGAACCUGCGGAAGGAUCAUUAAAGAUUUCGACCUUCGGGUCAAUCUCUCUUCAGCUGUGCGCUUAGGCUGCACGCUGUUGAACCUCCCACACCUGUGCACCAUUCGGUUGCGAUCUAGGUCGCUUCCGCUUUUACACAUACAACUACAGUCCAGAAUGUCUAAUACAAUAACAAAUAACAACUUUCAACAACGGAUCUCUUGGCUCUCGCAUCGAUGAAGAACGCAGC